rnacentral:rRNA from 1 species
GCAGCAGGCGCGAAAACUCUACAAUGCAGGCAACUGCGAUAGGGGGACAUCGAGUGGCAUCCACCUUGGGUGCCUGUCCCACCGUCUAAAAAACGGUGGUUAGCAAGGGCCGGGCAAGACCGGUGCCAGCCGCCGCGGUAAUACCGGCGGCUCGAGUGGUGGCCGAUAUUAUUGAGUCUAAAGGGUCCGUAGCCGGCUUUGCAAGUCCCCUGGGAAAUCCAGCGGCUUAACCGUUGGGCUUUCAUGGGAUACUACAUUGCUUGGGACUGGGAGAGGUAGGAGGUACUCGGGGGGUAGGGGUGAAAUCCUGUAAUCCCCCGGGGACCACCGGUGGCGAAGGCGUCCUACCAGAACAGGUCCGACGGUGAGGGACGAAAGCUAGGGGCACGAACCGGAUUAGAUACCCGGGUAGUCCUAGCCGUAAACGAUGCCCGCUAGGUGUCACGGCGGUCGUGAAUCGCCGUGGUGCCGUAGGGAAGCCGCGAAGCGGGCCACUUGGGAAGUACGGCCGCAAGGCUGAAACUUAAAGGAAUUGGCGGGGGAGC